GAUGAACGCUGGCGGCGUGCCUAAUACAUGCAAGUCGAGCGAACAGACGAGGAUCUUGCUCCUCUUACGUUAGCGGCGGACGGGUGAGUAACACGUGGAUAACCUACCUAUAAGACUGGGAUAACUUCGGGAAACCGGAGCUAAUACCGGAUAAUAUAUUGAACCGCAUGGUUCAAUAGUGAAAGACGGUUUUGCUGUCACUGAUAGAUGGAUCCGCGCCGCAUUAGCUAGUUGGUAAGGGAACGGCUUACCAAGGCAACGAUGCGUAGCCGACCUGAGAGGGGAGUGGGCCCAACCGGACUUGAACAGCGGGCCGGCCCCCACCGGGAGGGAGGGGAGGGGAAUCUUCCGCAAUGGGAGAAACCCUAGCGGAGAAAAGCGGCGUGGGGGAUGAGGGUUCGGGGAUCGUAAAACUCUCUUCUUAGGAAAGAAAAAAUGUGAAAGUAAUUGAGGAGGUGUGGGGGUUACCUAAUAAGAAAGCCCGGCUAACUUCGGU
rnacentral:rRNA from 1 species